rnacentral:rRNA from 1 species
GACGAACGCUGGCGGCGUGCCUAAUACAUGCAAGUUGAGCGCUUAAGGUUGGUACUUGUCCCCACUGGAUGAGCAGCGAACGGGUGAGUAACGCGUGGGGAAUCUGCCUUUGAGCGGGGGACAACAUUUGGAAACGAAUGCUAAUACCGAAUAAAAACUUUAAACACAAGAUUUAAGUUUGAAAGAUGCAAUUGCAUCACUCAAAGAUGAUCCCGCGUUGUAUUAGCUAGUUGGGGAGGUAAAGGCUCACCAAGGCGAUGAUACAUAGCCGACCUGAGAGGGUGAUCGGCGACACUGGGAUGGAGACACGGCCCGAACUCCUACGGGAGGGAGUAGUAGGGAAUCUUCGGCGAUGGACGAAAGGCUGACCGUGCAACGCCGGGUGAGAGAAGAAGGUUUUCGGAUCGUAAAACUCUGUUGGUAGAGAAGAACGUUGGGGAGAGUGGAAAGCUCAUCAAGUGACGGUAACUACCCAGAAGGGGACGGCUAACUACGUG